CCGGCGCACGGGUGAGUAACACGUAUCCAACCUGCCGAUAACUCGGGGAUAGCCUUCUGAAAGGAAGAUUAAUACAAGAUGGCAUCAUGAGUCCGCAUGUUCACAUGAUUAAAGGUGUUCCGGUAGACGAUGGGGAUGCGUUCCAUUAGAUAGUAGGCGGGGUAACGGCCCACCAAGCCUUCGAUGGAUAGGGGUUCUGAGAGGAAGGUCCCCCACAUUGGAACUGAGACACGGUCCAA
rnacentral:rRNA from 1 species